GUGAGGAAUAUUGGUCAAUGGACGCGAGUCUGAACCAGCCAAGUAGCGUGAAGGAUGACUGCCCUAUGGGUUGUAAACUUCUUUUAUAUGGGAAUAAAGUGGUCCACGUGUGGAUUUUUGUAUGUACCAUAUGAAUAAGGAUCGGCUAACUCCGUGCCAGCAGCCGCGGUAAUACGGAGGAUCCGAGCGUUAUCCGGAUUUAUUGGGUUUAAAGGGAGCGUAGGCGGAUUGUUAAGUCAGUUGUGAAAGUUUGCGGCUCAACCGUAAAAUUGCAGUUGAUACUGGCAGUCUUGAGUGCAGUAGAGGUGGGCGGAAUUCGUGGUGUAGCGGUGAAAUGCUUAGAUAUCACGAAGAACUCCGAUUGCGAAGGCAGCUCACUGGAGUGUAACUGACGCUGAUGCUCGAAAGUGUGGGUAUCAAACAGGAUUAGAAACCCCAGUAGUCC
rnacentral:rRNA from 1 species